AUUGAACGCUGGCGGCAGGCCUAACACAUGCAAGUCGAGCGGAGCGGCGGACGGGUGAGUAAUGCCUAGGAAUCUGCAUGGGAGUGGGGGAUAAGGUCCGGAAACGGGCGCUAAUACCGCAUCCUAUCGGAAGAGCCUAGGUCGGAGUAGCUAGUUGGUGGGGUAAAGGCCUACCAAGGCGACGAUCCGUAACUGGUCUGAGAGGAUGAUCAGGCAGACCAGAACUGAGACACUGUCCAGACUCCUACGGGAGGCAGCAGUGGGGAAUAGUGCACAAUGGGGGAGAGCCUGAUGCAGCCAUGCCGCGUGAAGGAAGAAGGCCUUCGGGUUGUAAAGUACUUUCUGUAGGGAGGCGUUAACUACAGAAGAAGCACCGGCUAACUCCGUGCCAGCAGCCGCGGUAAUUC
rnacentral:rRNA from 1 species